rnacentral:rRNA from 1 species
UACGGAGGGGGCUAGCGUUGUUCGGAAUUACUGGGCGUAAAGCGCACGUAGGCGGCUUUGUAAGUUAGAGGUGAAAGCCCGGGGCUCAACUCCGGAAUUGCCUUUAAGACUGCAUCGCUAGAAUUGUGGAGAGGUAAGUGGAAUUCCGAGUGUAGAGGUGAAAUUCGUAGAUAUUCGGAAGAACACCAGUGGCGAAGGCGGCUCACUGCCCGAUACUGACGCUGAGGCACGAAAGCGUGGGGAGCAAACAGG